rnacentral:rRNA from 1 species
AUUGAACGCUGGCGGCAUGCCUUACACAUGCAAGUCGAACGGAUUGAGGGGCUUGCUCCUCAGUUAGUGGCGAACGGGUGAGUAAUGCAUCGGAACGUACCCAAUCGUGGGGGAUAACGUAGCGAAAGUUACGCUAAUACCGCAUAAGUCCCGAGGGAGAAAGCAGGGGAUCGCAAGACCUUGCGCGAAUGGAGCGGCCGAUGUCGGAUUAGCUAGUUGGGGAGGUAAAGGCUCACCAAGGCGACGAUCCGUAGCUGGUCUGAGAGGACGACCAGCCACACUGGGACUGAGACACGGCCCAGACUCCUACGGGAGGCAGCAGUGGGGAAUUUUGGACAAUGGGCGAAAGCCUGAUCCAGCCAUGCCGCGUGAGUGAAGAAGGCCUUCGGGUUGUAAAGCUCUUUCGGACAGAAAGAAAUCUUCCGGGCUAAUACCUCGGAAGGAUGACGGUACUGUAAGAAGAAGCACCGGCUAACUACGUGCCAGCAGCCGCG